rnacentral:misc_RNA from 1 species
AACGCACAUUGCGCCCUUUGGCAUUCCGAAGGGCAUGCCCGUUCGAGCGUCAUUACACCAAUCAAGCCUCGCUUGGUAUUGGGCGUCGGGGUCUCCCGCGCCCUUAAUUCCUCGGCUGGACGGUUCGAAUCUCAGCGUUGUGGUUAAUCAAAUCGCUGGCGAAGACGACCGGACGCGCCGCUAAACCUCACUACAGGUUGACCUCGGAUCGGGUAGGGAUACCCGCUGAACUUAA